GGGAUAGAGCUGGAUAGCUCAGUUGGUUACAGCAUGGUGCUGAUAAUGCCAAGGUUGCAGGUUUGAUCCUGGGACAACUGCAUAUUCCU